rnacentral:rRNA from 1 species
AGAGUUUGAUCCUGGCUCAGGAUGAACGCUAGCUACAGGCUUAACACAUGCAAGUCGAGGGGCAGCAUUGGAGUAGCAAUACUCAGAUGGCGACCGGCGCACGGGUGAGUAACACGUAUCCAACCUGCCGCUUACUCGGGGAUAGCCUUUCGAAAGAAAGAUUAAUACCCGAUGGUAUAAAGAGUUCGCAUGUUCUCUUUAUUAAAGAAUUUCGGUAAGCGAUGGGGAUGCGUUCCAUUAGAUUGUUGGCGGGGUAACGGCCCACCAAGUCUACGAUGGAUAGGGGUUCUGAGAGGAAGGUCCCCCACAUUGGAACUGAGACACGGUCCAAACUCCUACGGGAGGCAGCAGUGAGGAAUAUUGGUCAAUGGACGAGAGUCUGAACCAGCCAAGUAGCGUGAAGGAUGACUGCCCUAUGGGUUGUAAACUUCUUUUAUAAGGGAAUAAAGUGAGGGACGUGUCCCUUUUUGUAUGUACCUUAUGAAUAAGGAUCGGCUAACUCCGUGCCAGCAGCUGC